AUCUCCCUAGUAUUAAAGUUUAGUACAAGUGACUUCCAAUCAUUUAGUCUUGGUUAAAAUCCAAGGAGAGAUA
rnacentral:tRNA from 1 species